AAAAAAAAAUUAUUAUGGGUAUUUUAAAAACUGAUGUGACUUGUUUUCUUGUAAUAAUAUUUACAAUUUCAUUGUCCAACCAUAACAUUUUGGUUUCAGGUGAAAAAACCUCAUUCGACCACUGCGAUACGUUGUGUACAGAUUAUUACGGAUGGCAUGAAUGUUUAACUGACUGUACAAUAGAAGGCUACGUAAGUGGGUUAUGUGCUUCUCCUUUUCCUAACCAACCUAAGCGAUGUUGUUGUCAAAAACACCCUCUAAUAAUUGGUGAUUGAGUGUUGUAAUAAAUGCCAUGGAAUAAAAAAGAAACUAUUUAUGAUAAAACGUACUAUUUUUAAUCAAA